rnacentral:rRNA from 1 species
UACGAAGGGGGCUAGCGUUGCUCGGAAUCACUGGGCGUAAAGGGUGCGUAGGCGGGUCUUUAAGUCAGAGGUGAAAUCCUGGAGCUCAACUCCAGAACUGCCUUUGAUACUGAGGAUCUUGAGUUCGGGAGAGGUGAGUGGAACUGCGAGUGUAGAGGUGAAAUUCGUAGAUAUUCGCAAGAACACCAGUGGCGAAGGCGGCUCACUGGCCCGAUACUGACGCUGAGGCACGAAGGCGUGGGGAGCAAACAGG